CUAAAUCUAGCUAAAAUAAGAUAAGAUAAACUUUUAUGAAUCUCGUGAGGGAAAUUCAGGUGUUAAAUUAAGCAUUUAAACCUAACCAACAGCCUUAUAUGUAAGUGCUGUUCUCAUUUAUAUAUGGUGCAAUAUGCCUAAAACAGAAUUAAAAAUCUAUUAAAAUCAAAAAUUUCGCGAGCGCCCCUUAGGGAACCCGGAAGUUCAGAGAGUUGCAGUUCUCUUAUUAGAAAUGCUGUGGCACUGGCAAUACCUACUCAGCACGCCAAAUGGGCCAGAGGGUUUCCUGUUGAGCAGCAAAUAUUUGCACGUAAUUUCAACCUCGAAUGAAUCUUGCUUAUCUUGUUUUAAUACACAUCUAUAAACAAAACGUUAAUAAAUCAACCAUUGCAUGUAGCCAAAUUGUGCAAGCCUACUUGAAAAUGUCAUGAACUUUACUGGAAAUGUUGUCUUAAGUUAGGGCAUUGACUUGACUGAAUAUUGAAGGUGAAAUCGAUAUCCACAGACCUUUUGAUUUUAAUGUGUCCGUGUAGGCCAUCCCUUGUAGUGACUAAGUAGUCUUUAAUUAUGAUUGUGUACGUGUUUCGAUGCAGAGGGUUAAGGAAACACUUCAGUACGUUUUUACUAGCACUGAAGCAGAAUAUGAUAUAUGGCAAGCUCCUCAAAACCAGCUAGAAAUACAUCCACGAUGCCUAUAUCAAUUUAUUUUACUUAUUUGAUGGCAAACUGGACUGGCAUGUUAGACUAGCCUAUUAUCACAGGUCAUCCUGUCACUGGCCACUUCAGCCAUAUGGGCGCGCACAGAAUCUUACUAGCCAGUGAAUUAUGCUAAAUUCGGUACCUUACCGAUUUAUUGCUGGUCAGACAGCAUUACAUUCUGCACGUCGAAACACUCAUAUUUCUACGACGUUCGACAAAGCUACACUUUGGUUACGCCACACCUCAAAACGAAAUGUUUUUUUUCUGUUUGAACGAUACAAACGCUUGUUUGAAGACAUUUACCAGAGUUAUGUUAGCUUGUUAGCAUUGGAUGGCUAGACAUAGCCUACGAGGUAACGUUUACAAUCGUUAAACAAAAAGUUGUUGCUGUUUAAAGCUAUUCGCAACAUUUAAACAACAUAAAAACACCCCUGUAUGAAAAUGAAAGUGAUGUAAGUCUAGUUAAUAUUUAACUGAAAUCGUAUUAUAUCAGCUGAGUCUAGCGUCUAUAUUCUGUACUGGUGGCCAAGAAUGACGGAGCUCCAGUGGCGCAAUCGGUUAGCGCGCGGUACUUAUACAGCAGUACAUGCAGAGCAAUGCCGAGGUUGUGAGUUCGAGCCUCACCUGGAGCAGUCUUUUAGUGGGGACCAUUUGAUGAUGUGAGAACAAAGUGCCACUGUGUCUUUCCUGCUCUGGGCAGAGUGAUGAUGGAGAGGCUGUGUGCCCGCCAAGGGGAAGUGAUGUCAUUGCUUCGACAACAGGACAGCCAAUCAGGGGUGAGAGCUCGCCACGGCCACGGUCUCCUCCUCAUAACGGGCAACGGUGAGCGCCUCAGCCGUCAGAUUUUGAACCAGAGAGCACGGGACACAGGGCAGCCUCCGUCUCUAUGAGUCUCAGAGUGCAGAGGCGAGGGGUGACUGGAAAGGCCAUUUCACUCGGGCCCCUGCUGGCUGUGACCGGAGCCCGGGGAGAGAGGGAGCGCUGCACCGGAUAACGUGGGCGUUCCAGAACACUCCGAGAACUCCUUCACAACUGAACAUUCUGUAAAAAUAGGCGAGCCAAGAGAAAGAGAGAGAGAAAGACAGAGAGAGAGAAAGAGAGAGAAAGAGAGAUAUGCGAUGAUAUGCAGGAUGAAGAAGAGGACAUGGAGGAGAGGAAUGGGGGGAGGGUGGUGUAACAUCUCCACAUGAGUCUCCAUAAAGUUGUUUAACAGCACCUCAACGACGACGUCCGCCGCCAAGCCCUGGCUCAAGCCGUGCUCUCCUGACAAUUUGAGUCAAGCUUGAAAAAUGAGCUCCGCUCCACUUUAAGCUGUCCCCGUGGCAUCACACGUGAUUUUCACCGUGUUAAAGAAACUGCAUGGGAGGACUGAGGGGUUGGGGGGUGCAAUUGCAGGGAAACAAAUUUAAAUGUCCCAGAGUUCUCUGUGGGGACUCGUGUAACGGGGCCGUCGCAAAUCACACGUUAAUGUCUCCCAAGCUCAGUAUCUCUUUUCCUCUGUCAUGGGUCACAGAGGAACUUUUUAAAGAGAAAUAGGUGUGCAUACACACACAGACUUACAGACACACACACACACACACACACA